UAUGGCCACAUCAUGCUUAAACACUGGUCCCUAUAUGAUCACAGAAGUUAAGCAAGAUCGAGCCUGGUUAGUAUUUCACUGUGUGACUACUUUGGAAUACCAGAUGCU